rnacentral:rRNA from 1 species
UACGUAGGGGGCUAGCGUUGUCCGGAUUUAUUGGGCGUAAAGAGCGUGUAGGCGGCCAGGUAGGUCUGGUGUGAAAACUCGAGGCUUAACCUCGAGAUGUCAUCGGAAACCAUUUGGCUAGAGUCCGGAAGAGGAGAGUGGAAUUCCUGGUGUAGCGGUAAAAUGCGCAGAUAUCAGGAAGAACACCAAUGGCGAAAGCAGCUCUCUGGGACGGUACUGACGCUGAGACGCGAAAGCGUGGGGAGCGAACAGG